CUCAGUCACACCCGAUAGGUUUUGCGGUGCGUGAGCGGGAUGAUGAUGUAGGCGCGUCUUAACGACACAAACUUCAUUCUUUUCACUUCACUUUCCUCAAGCGAUCUGAUACGCGUGCUUCUUCUGCAGCGGAAUAUAGACCAAAGAACAAACAUGAAGCCCUUGGCAUUGCUGGCACUUCUGCUCAUCAUGAGUGGUUCUGCAGUGGGACAAACGUUGAAAUCUAAUGCGACCGGCUUUGUUGGAAAGGAUGUACUUUUAUCAUUUAACUGUUUUAAUGUCCCUAAAGAGCUGAUAUGGCAGAAAGGUGAUAGAGUAGUGAAUGCUCAUUCGCAAGACAAAAUCAACAUAGAUGAUUCCUACCUGGACAGGACGCAACUCUUCCUAAACGAGGAGAAGAGAAACUGUUCCCUGCUGCUCCGCAACAUCUCUACAGCAGAUGCAGGACUGUACACCUGUCAUGCCCUAGACAGUGUUGAUAACAACAUAUGGUCAAAGGAGUCUACAGAAGUUAAUUUAACAGUGGAGAGCAACCCUGAAAAAGGCGGCCAAACUAAAGAAGAAUCUGUCACAGCUGUCUCUGUUAGUGUUCCCAUAGCGGUAGUAGUGCUUAUACUGGCUGUUAUCCUGCUUCUAAUCCUACUGAACAGAAGACAACAUCGGACAAACACGGACACCGAUGAUUUACCGACUGAGGAACCUAUGCUACAGAAUGUGUGAAGUGCUCUUGCUUGACAGUUUAAUGGACUAACUUCUAUGUUGUAAUGCAAGGUCCUUCACAACAACAAUGGACAAUAAGAGGCCUUAGCCCUAAACAAAUGCGUUCACAUGUGGGCAUUACACAGCGGUGCGUGCCGAUCCGUCUCGCUGCAAGACAGAUUAAUGUGCAGUCUUCAGUUGUAACACUGUUACUUGAUUACCACUGAAUUGUGAAUACACUGUGAAUAUACAUUCAGUAGGCAUUACAGUUUUGUAAUUGGACAAGAUUCUCCUUGUAGGAACUGUCUUUAUUCAUUCUUUGAAGAACAGAUGUAAUAGGUAGGGGACGUGCAGUUUAUAUUUUGGUUUUUCCUCUCUCUUUGAGGCACACUGGUGGUCUCAAUCCUAAACAAGCUUUCCAAAUCAGUUUAUUUUAUUGUUCAUAUGUGUACAGCAAUCAUUUACUAAGCACUCAUCAUGUAAGCUUCUUUACAUUUACUCUUGUAUGGGUUGUUUUACUCAGCCUAUGCUGAUUUCAUUUAUGUGGAAGAAAUAAUAUGGCACUCCCUAUGGGAUAUGUUUGCUUUUUUUUACUGUACUAAAUUUCAUUUACUUUUAAAUGAAUUCUGUAAAGUACUUCAAACCUGCUGAGGCAAUAAACCUUUUACUUAUACAGUUUUUCUUUGUA
rnacentral:lncRNA from 1 species